rnacentral:rRNA from 1 species
GAUGAACGCUGGCGGCGUGCCUAAUACAUGCAAGUCGAGCGAACAGACGAGGUGCUUUCUCCUCUGACGUUAUCGGCUGACGGGUGAUUAACACGUGGAUAACCUACCUAUAAUACUUGUAUAACUUCGGGAAACCGGAGCUAAUACCGGAUAAUAUAUUGAACCUCAUGGUUCAAUAGUUAAUGUCGGUUUUGCUUUCACUUAUAGAUUGAUCCGCGCCGCAUUAUCUAGUUGGUAAGGUAACGGCUUACCAAGGCAACGAUGCGUAGCCGACCUGAGAGGGAGAUCGGCGAAAAUGGAAGGGAGAAACGGAACAGAAGACUACGGGAGGAAGCAGGAGGGAAUAGUCCGAAAGGGGGGAAAGCAUGACGGAGAAAAGCAGGGGGAGGGAUGAAGGUAUAAGGAUCGGAAAAAAAUGUUAUUAGGGAAGAAAAAAAGUGUAAGAAAAUAAGGAGGUAAUGAAGGUAACUAAAGAGAAAGCAACGGCUAACUACGUG